rnacentral:lncRNA from 1 species
UCCGUAGUACAUAUCCAUACCAAUACCCCUUAGAGCGGAGUGUUGUGCUUGUAGAUAUAGUAUGAUGGAGAUCGAAGGGCUAAUCUUAAAUUUUCUUCUAGCGGUGGACUUUAAGAGAAAGUAGGGGUAAAUUUACUUCUAAUCUUGCAAUUCCCUCCUAUUACAAUUAAAAGGGCAGUCUACUAGUGUUGCAUGCAUUCUAAUAGUCUUAUGCCUAAGGUUUGCAUUCUAUUUGUUGUAUAUGUCUAUACUCUG